UACGUAGGGUGCAAGCGUUGUCCGGAAUUAUUGGGCGUAAAGGGCUCGUAGGCGGUCCAUCGCGUCGGGAGUGAAAAGCUGGGGCUUAACCCCAGUCCUGCUUCCGAUACGGGUGGACUAGAGGUAGGUAGGGGAGAACGGAAUUCCUGGUGUAGCGGUGAAAUGCGCAGAUAUCAGGAAGAACACCCGUGGCGAAGGCGGCUCUCUGGGACGGUACUGACGCUGAGACGCGAAAGCGUGGGGAGCGAACAGG
rnacentral:rRNA from 1 species